CAAACCAAUGCUAUGAAUGGAGAUCUGAAAGAAGGCAAAAGUCGACCCUUCUAUCAAGCGAUGAAAACUACUUUCGAUACUGAUGUGAAAUUCUCUGAAGGAAGGUGCAAUAAAGUUUUGCCUUAGCGUCUGCUGCAUACCAAGAAAACCUACCCACUCACUACACUGAGGAUUAUCAUGAAACUAGGCUUGCUCACGCUUUACACAUAUUUAACAUCCACGCAAGGUGUCCGGCCUUGCUGAGAUUCGCUCAGCAGCUGAUGGAAGACUGCGAAAGGCUCUGGAAAAACGGACAUCAAAUGUGCGAAGUUCUCAGUCUUACUGGAAAUCAUUGCAUGAAUCC